AUUUGAAUUUAGGGAGACGUUUUCCUUCAAUGCUCAGUGAGGUUCACCACUCCAUAGUCCAUCCUAGGGUUCACAAAACCCUUACAAGAAUUUUCUCUUUCUCCUUCAUUUAUGUUUUCUAUCUCCCUCUUAUAAAGAAACCAUAUAUAUUCUUUAACUACUUUCUUGUUGGGUCCCCUUCUCUCUCGCCCGGUUCAUAAGUCAUAGAGGAAUGCGAUCCUUUCUACCAAAAAACAAAAGGAAGGCGAUCAGAAAAUAGGGCAGUCGAUCAGGCUAGAGUUCAUAUGAGUCACGUCUUCCCCUCCCCUCCCCUCCCCUCCCCUCCCCUCAAAGGACUCUCCCUCUCUCCCUUGGUGUUGGUUAGUGGAAGAUUAUUGUAUAAGACCUAGGAUUUGAAGUCAAUAAUGGCGGCUCAGAAGAAAUUAAUGGGACUGGGAUGAACCCGGAUUGGAAGAUCAUUAGCCCAGUCUGACUCCUCGAAGAACGCUUUCGCUACCAAAGUCCAGAAAUUGAAAGACAAAAGUUCAGUUGCCCUUGAGCAGUGCACAAUAGGAUCAAGAGGUUUCUUCCAUGAAGAUGGAGUGUCUUACCAGAGGUUCGAUCGGCAGAUUCCCUACUGUUUUUUUCGCCUUAUCGGAUCUCUUUUUUAACUAUUAAAUUCCUCAAAAUAAUUUUGAUUUUAUAUUUAUUUUCAAAGUAACAUUUUGUUAUAAAAAAAAUAGUUUUUGUGGGGUAACCCUAAAACCUUAGCCCUAAAUCGUAAACCAAAAACACUAAACCACCACCCGCCUUGAUGUUAAUGCGUGUGCUCCCAUUGUCCCUUAUGCAUGCAUACUCAGGGCCAACACUUUCCCUUCCUUAUUACAUUAUAUAUUCUCUGAUCUUUGGAUUUGAAUUGAUGUCGUUUGCUUUUCUUUCUUUUAUCUUUGAUUUUUAUUACUGUUUAUGCAUUAUGUUCAUGUUUAUUCAGUUUAUUUUCUUAUGGAUCCAAAUGGGAGAAAAAGUUAAGCAUCAUCGUCCACCUUUUGAGAUUAUCUUAAACAUAUUGUCAAUGCUCCCCAUAGUCUCUUAUGCGAUUCAAGAGUGUGUGUAAGAGCUGGUUCAGUUUGAUAAAAGAAGACCCAUCAUUCGAAUUGCAGCUUGAAAGAUCAAAGAAUCGACCCCACCACUUAAUUCUUUGGAACGCUAUGGGGCAGAUAAGAUACUCUUGUUGGACAGAUAAGGGAAAAAACUGUAUGUGGAAAGCAAGGGACCUUGAGCUUGAGUUGGAGUAUAACAGGGAUUUCAAAUUUCAGAACAGAAAAAAUAGGUGGGAAUUCCAAGUUGUUGGGUCUUGCAAUGGUUUGAUUUGUAUCUGCAUUCGAUACAAAUGUUUUUGUGGCAUACGCAUAUGGAACCCAAUCACAAAAGAGUGUGUCAAGUUGCCAUCAAUAGCUUGGAGAUUUGUUGGUCCAAUUGGUUUUGGUGUAGAUUCCACAGGAAAGUACAAGGUGAUUCAAAUAUUUAAGAAGGAAAAUAAAUAUUCCAACUGGGAUAGUGAUUAUGAGGGAGAAGUGAUGAAUUGUGAAAUAUGUGAGAUUAUUACAUUAGGUGAAAGUUCAUGAAGAGAGAUAGAGGCCCCUUACCAGUUUGUUUAUACCCAGUCUGCUAAUAACCAGAUGGUAUUCAUGAAUGGGGCAGUCUAUUGGAUUACCACCCAGUUGGGGCAGCCAAUCAUUGCUGUGUUCGAUCUCUACGAUGAGAAGUUUUGCACCAUAGAGUUUCCUCCAUCUAUAAAGUUGCCCAAGUUUCAUGAACUGAGCCUAACAUUAAUCAAGGGUCACCUAGCUUUGCAUCAUCGUGAAUAUGGUGCGUAUGGUGCUAAAAUAUUUAUCAUUCAUAUAUGGUUCAUAGAGAUUAACAAGUUUGAGGGCAAUGACUUGUACCGAUGUGAUCCUAUUCAUAUGGUUGUGAAAUGGCCUUUUUCAUAUCGUGAUGAUGCCGAUAAUUUGAAAUUUGUGGGUAUGCUGAGCAAUCACAUGUUCUUGUAUAGGCUAAAUAUCAGGUAUUCUGAUUCCAGAUACCUACACUCAUUUAGGGAUAGCUAUCUUCUUGUCUAUUGUACAAAGAAGAAGAGAUUUAUGCGUGUUCUUGUGUCUGGAGGAAUUCCACAAAGGUUCCGAGCAACAAGUUUUGUUCCAAGCCUUGUAUCUCCUAUUGUUAUUGCUUGUGGCAAGUCAAAGAAAGAUACCAGCCACAGUUUUGAAGGGCUACACUUGGAAGUGGUGGGUUACUCCUCCUUACGGGAUUUAAUAGAUUCUUGCUCUGUUUGUUACAGUGAUGAGUGACAGCAGUCUCUCUUUUUGUCUUGUGCUUCUGUUGGUGGUUAAGAAAAAAAAUUUAAACCGUGAUUUUUGUACAAAUAUGUCUUUUGGUUUUCCCAUAUAAAGAGAGACGAUCCCUACUUCAAAAAUUA